UACGUAGGUGGCAAGCGUUGUCCGGAAUUAUUGGGCGUAAAGCGCGCGCAGGCGGUCCUUUAAGUCUGAUGUGAAAGCCCACGGCUCAACCGUGGAGGGUCAUUGGAAACUGGGGGACUUGAGUACAGAAGAGAAGAGUGGAAUUCCACGUGUAGCGGUGAAAUGCGUAGAGAUGUGGUGGAACACCAGUGGCGAAGGCGACUCUUUGGUCUGUAACUGACGCUGAGGCGCGAAAGCGUGGGGAGCAAACAGG
rnacentral:rRNA from 1 species